rnacentral:rRNA from 1 species
GAUGAACGCUGGCGGCGUGCCUAAUACAUGCAAGUCGAGCGAACAGACGAGGAGCUUGCUCCUUCGACGUUAGCGGCGGACGGGUGAGUAACACGUAGGUAACCUACCUAUAAGACUGGGAUAACAUCGGGAAACCGGAGCUAAUACCGGAUAAUUUUUCGAACCGCAUGGUUCGAUAGUGAAAGAAGGCUUUGCUUUCUCUUAUAGAUGGACCCGCGCCGUAUUAGCUAGUUGGUAAGGUAACGGCUUACCAAGGCAACGAUACAUAGCCGACCUGAGAGGGUGAUCGGCCACACUGGAACUGAGACACGGUCCAGACUCCUACGGGAGGCAGCAGUAGGGAAUCUUCCGCAAUGGGCGAAAGCCUGACGGAGCAACGCCGCGUGAGUGAUGAAGGUCUUCGGAUCGUAAAACUCUGUUGUUAGGGAAGAACAAGCGUGUAAGUAACUGUGCACGUCUUGACGGUACCUAAUCAGAAAGCCACGGCUAACUACGUG